rnacentral:rRNA from 1 species
AACCUCCGCAAUGUGAGAAAUCGCGACGGGGGGAUCCCAAGUGCCAUUCUUAACGGGAUGGCUUUUCAUUAGUGUAAAGAGCUUUUGGAAUAAGGGCUGGGCAAGACCGGUGCCAGCCGCCGCGGUAACACCGGCAGCUCUAGUGGUAGCAGUUUUUAUUGGGCCUAAAGCGUCCGUAGCCGGUUUAAUAAGUCUCUGGUGAAAUCCUGUAGCUUAACUGUGGGAAUAGCUGGAGAUACUAUUAGACUUGAGACCGGGAGAGGUUAGAGGUACUCCCAGGGUAGAGGUGAAAUUCUGUAAUCCUGGGAGGACCGCCUGUUGCGAAGGCGUCUAACUGGAACGGUUCUGACGGUGAGGGACGAAAGUUAGGGGCGCGAACCGGAUUAGAUACCCGGGUAGUCCUAACUGUAAACGAUGCGGACUUGGUGUUGGGGUGGCUUUGAGCUGCUCCAGUGCCGAGGGAAGCUGUUAAGUCCGCCGCCUGGGAAGUACGGUCGCAAGACUGAAACUUAAAGGAAUU